rnacentral:rRNA from 1 species
GACGAACGCUGGCGGCGUGCCUAACACAUGCAAGUCGAACGGGGCCCGCAAGGGUUCAGUGGCGGACGGGUGCGUAACACGUGAAGAACAUGUCUUUCGGUGGGGGAGUAGCCGGCCCAACGGCCGGGUAAUACCGCAUACGCUGUUCGGGGCUCAUGCCCUGAAUCGGAAAGCAGCAAUGCGCCGAUAGAGUGCUUCGCGGCCUAUCAGCUAGUUGGUGAGGUAAUGGCUCACCAAGGCGACGACGGGUAGCUGGUCUGAGAGGAUGGCCAGCCACAUUGGGACUGAGACACGGCCCAGACUCCUACGGGAGGCAGCAGUGGGGAAUAUUGCGCAAUGGGCGAAAGCCUGACGCAGCGACGCCGCGUGUGGGAUGAAGG